rnacentral:rRNA from 1 species
AGUGAACGCUGGCGGUAGGCCUAACACAUGCAAGUCGAACGGCAGCACAGUAAGAGCUUGCUCUUACGGGUGGCGAGUGGCGGACGGGUGAGGAAUACAUCGGAAUCUACUUUUUCGUGGGGGAUAACGGAGGGAAACUUACGCUAAUACCGCAUACGACCUACGGGUGAAAGCAGUGGAGCUUCGGACCUUGCGCGAUUGAAUGAGCCGAUGUCGGAUUAGCUAGUUGGCGGGGUAAAGGCCCACCAAGGCGACGAUCCGUAGCUGGUCUGAGAGGAUGAUCAGCCACACUGGAACUGAGACACGGUCCAGACUCCUACGGGAGGCAGCAGUGGGGAAUAUUGGACAAUGGGCGCAAGCCUGAUCCAGCCAUGCCGCGUGAGUGAAGAAGGCCUUCGGGUUGUAAAGCCCUUUUAUUGGGAAAGAAAAGCAGCAGGUUAAUACCCCGCUGUUCUGACGGUACCCAAAGAAUAAGCACCGGCUAACUUCGUG